rnacentral:rRNA from 1 species
CCCUUAGAUGUCCUGGGCCGCACGCGUGCUACACUGACGCAUACAGCGAGCACUUUCCAGUUCCGAGAGGCUACUGGUAAUCAUCAAUAUGCGUCGUGAUGGGGAUAGAUCUUUGGAAUUCUGGAUUUUGAACGAGGAAUGCCUAGUAAUCGCAGGUCAUUAGCCUGCGAUGAUUAAGUCCCUGCCCUUUGUACACACCGCCCGUCGCUACUACCGAUUUCGAGUGGUCAGGUGAAUCUUUCGGACUGUGGGCGCCCUUGAGGUGUUCGCGGAAAGUCAGGUAAAUCUUAUCACUUAGAGGAAGUAAAAGUCGUAACA